rnacentral:rRNA from 1 species
AAUGAACGUUGGCGGCAUGGAUUAGGCAUGCAAGUCGCACGAGAAGUGGAGUAGCUUGCUACAAAACGGAAAGUGGCGAAAGGGAGAGUAACGCGUGGUUACAUACCUUCAGGACCAGGAUAGCGUUGGGAAACCGGCAGUAAUACUGGAUGAUAUCUUUGGAUCAAAUGGUGUGAUUCCGCCUGAAGAUUGGACUGCGUACUAUUAGCUUGUUGGCGGGGUAAUGGCCCACCAAGGCUGCGAUGGUUACCGGGUGUGAGAGCAUGGCCCGGCUCACUGGGACUGAGACACUGCCCAGACAUCUACGGAUGGCUGCAGUCGAGAAUCUUUGGCAAUGGACGAAAGUCUGACCAAGCGAUGCCGCGUGCGGGAUGAAGGCCCUCGGGUUGUAAACCGCUGUCAGUUGGAAGGAAAUAUUAUGGGGUUCUCUCCAUAGUUUGACCGAUCUUCAGAGGAAGGACGGGCUAAGUACGUGCCAGCAGCCGCCGUAAAAC